UACGUAGGGUGCAAGCGUUAAUCGGAAUUACUAGGCGUAAAGCGUGCGCAGGCGGUGAUGUAAGACCGAUGUGAAAUCCCCGGGCUUAACCUGGGAACUGCAUUGGUGACUGCAUUGCUAGAGUAUGGCAGAGGGGGGUGGAAUUCCACGUGUAGCAGUGAAAUGCGUAGAGAUGUGGAGGAAUACCGAUGGCGAAGGCAGCCCCCUGGGCCAAUACUGACGCUCAUGCACGAAAGCGUGGGGAGCAAACAGG
rnacentral:rRNA from 1 species